AUAAUUUGACUUUUUAAAGUAAAAAAUCAUUUUUCAUAAAUAUUGUGUUCCUGAUUAUGGACUAUCUUAGUCUUCAUUAAUCCAAAUGUUAAUUCAGGGAUGUAUAUAAAGAACUCAGUAACUUGAGAAGCUAUUGCUUGUAUCUGUAGCUGGAUAAAUAUCUCAAUGAAGCAUAUAAAGGGAACUGUAUAAAAAUUCUACUACCAUUAUGGUGCACACUCUCUGGAAGUGGGAUACUUUUGUCUUCAAUCUGUUUGCAAGUGAGCGGUUGACAAUGCAUGGACAGACUUUGAGUUUAUGUGGUUCUUUCUUUAGGUAUAAGAAAAAGAUGA
rnacentral:lncRNA from 1 species